AAAAGCAUUUUCCAGCUCUGAGUCAUGAAUGCAUCAAUUUUUUGUUUGUCAACGCACUAGGAUUCUCUCAGAUUAUCCGGGACAAUGUCUGAUACCCUCUAACCCAUUCGCGCGAAAAAGUACUUGUGUUUUAUUUUCAACACUCUAAGUCGCACUGUUUAGAGUCCUAAAUACAUGCAUGACAGCAUAACUUUGACGGAGAUGAUUCUGAAGGGAAGUUACGUCAGUUGUUGCUGCCGGCGAAAAUGUUGGCGACAGAAUGUUGAAAAGGACGACAGGAAAGGACAGUUCAUCUUUUGGGAUGACAUUCAUGGAAAAUCCAGGGAAAACUGUCCGAAAAGGAUAUGCUGGCUUGCAGAAGGGAUAAAAUCUGAUGCCCGUUGUUGAGGAGUGUGUAUUUUAGACUAAAUAUUUUAUCCUUGAAAAGUUUAAGAAUAGGAAAAUUUUCGACGCAUAGCUGAGAUAAAUGAGGGAGGAUAUCAUCUCCUGCCAAAACUAAAUCCUUUCUAAAUCAUAUCCUUAAAUUAGGGAACUCGGCUAUGAAAAGUAAUGAAAAUGUUAUUUGUUAAUACCCGACCAGGGUAAGGAGAUACCAAAAUACCUCAAGGAGAACAAAAUGGACAGGGGUCUCAGAACUGCUGAAUUUGCCCCCCACCUCCAAUCGAAUAGAAUUGAAACCGAGAACUUCCAUUGAUUCUACGU